UGCUUUUUAGGGCUGCACCCACAGCAUAUGGAGGUUCCCAGGCUAGGGGUCAAAGUGGAGCUACAGCUGCUGGCCCAUAGCCACAGCAAUUCCAGAUUCAAGCUGUGUCUUCGACCUAUACCACAGCUCAUGGCAACAUCAGAUCAUUAACCUGCUGAUCGAGGCCAAGGAUAGAAACCUCAUGGUUCCUAGUCGGAUUUGUUUCUGCUGCACCAUGAAAGGAACUCCUAUCUUUUGCUUUAUUUUUACAGCCACAUCUGUGACAUAUGGAAGUUCCUGGGCUAGGGGUCGAAUCGGAGCUGCAGCUGCGACCUGUGCCACAGCUUAUGGCAAUGCCUGAUCCUUAACCCACUGAGAGAGGCCAGGAAUCGAACCCACAUUCUCACAGAGACGUCAGGUCCUUAACCUGUUAAGCCACAGUGGGAACUCCAAAGCCAGGUAAGGUUUUAAUUGUUUAAAUAUUUGGUGAUGAAACUAACUGCAUCCAAGUUUUAAAGUUGUAAAUGCAGAAUGGUACAAGGCCUAAGGAAGCUGUAGGCCAGUGGUGUCAGACUCUUCAAAAAAUGAGCAAAAAUCUUCGUGCAGUAUUUCAGCAUUCAACAACUAUAUUGAAUGUCUACUGUGUGCCAGGCACUGUGCUAGGGGACACAGCAGCAGCAACACAGACCUGAUUCCUGCCCUCGUGAGUUUAGAGGGGGAGGCAGACAUUGAACAAAUAAUUGAAUAAGUAGAUCAUUAAUGAGUUGCAAUUGAAGUAACGCUGUGAAAAAGAUGUAUGCAGCCAAGUGGCCAACAUAGACUUGAGAGGCAUCCCCAAAGAAGCUGUGAUCUGAAGGAUGCACAGGAAAUAAGCAAAGAGGUAGAAGAGAGUCCAGACAGGACAUAUUACAAGAAAAAUCCCAGAGGCAAGGAAGCAACUUGUGCUGGAGGAAAUUGCAGAAGAUGGUUGUGGGGAAGCCAGGCCAGCAGGGCAGCACAGAUGAAGACGAAGGGAGGCAGGCACCAGACCGCCAGGACAUCACGGCCAGCUCAAGGAUGAAAACAGGAAACUGGGGAGCUGCUCUGGCUAAAAAGGCGCGAACCCCUGACUAGCCCCUACACACACACACACACACACACACACACACACACACACACACACACAGUCUCAUCCCCUGGCCUUGCAGCCUCCGAGGCCCUCGGAGGACCCCCACAGCUUAUCAGAACAUAGCUUGGAAAGCCCGAAUCCAGCCCUACUUGGCAUUUUCUGAUGAGAAGAGUAGGACCUGACAGUCAUCCACCCCCAGUGCCCUCUCUGUUAACUCUGGAUCUACUCCAGCUUCCCUGGAGAGAAGGCCGGCAGGGUGUCAUCUUGGGACAGGCUCUGAGAACACCACACAUCAAAUGUUUCAAGAGGGAGCCUCGAGAGCCAAUCCAGCGUCUGGAAUGGAGGAUGGGCCCCAAGGAUGGGAUUUUGUCCCUUGCCUGCCCCUGGAGCCCUCCGUCUCUCCCGCCUCGCUGCCAGAGUCCCUGACCCCCUGGGCCUCUCCGCAUCACUCAUCCCGAGGCAGGGGCAGGCUGCCCGCCAGGACAGCAGAUCCCUCUUAAGCUCUGGCCUCAACAUUCCUCUCCACCCCAGGGGUCAAGGUCCGAUGUGGGGUAUUUUCCCAAGCCCUGGGGAACAGAGGCGCCUCCUGACAUGUACAGCUACUGCUCCGAGCUAGAGGGGAAGCUAGCAGGGAAGUUGGGCUGGAGAGGGGAGCAGUCAGCAGGCUCCUGGAGCAGAGCUGCAGGGAGAAAGAGCCCCAGGAAGUAGGGAAGUUGAAGUCAGUGAUGCGAAAGGGGCUGCACUGCAGGUAUCUGAGCCAAGGUGAGGAUUUUCCUGCCCUGAUCCAGCUGGUCGUCAUCUAACCCCCCCGGGGUCUGGCCUCUCUAGAGACCCUUGCUGGCUUCUGCAGGUCCUGGGGCAGAAGCCAAAGGCAGCCACCUCCCAGAGGACAGUAGCUGGACUGAGAGCCCCCCAGCAGGGCCCAGGGAGCACAGGGAUUGCAGAGCCCUCGGCAGCCCUGCAAGGGGUCAAAGUCGAGCAGAUCAAGUUGGUGAAAAGAUCCUGAAGAUGAAGGAGGAGGCAGGGGCAGUUGCCCCCCAGCUAGUUUAGAAGGAGUGGUGGAGGGAAGCCUCUUGGGGCCUGGAAGGUGAUUUCAUCAGCCAAGGUUGGCCUGAGGUGGAACUGUGCCACAUCAGCCCCCUGCUUCCCACUUCUCCCUCCUGCCCUGUGAGCAUCAGGUACCUGUCAUCCCGCCAUCCUUCUCCAGAGGAAAGCAGGUACAGGGGAACAAGGGAACAGGUGUCAGAGGCCUGGAUUCAAGUCCUCACUGCUCCCCACUUUAGCUGUAUGAUCUUCAGUAAAGAUCACAGCCUCUCUGAGACGCCACUGCCUGUUCUGUACAAAUGAGAUGAAUACUUCUAGACUAUGACAUGCCAGGGGACAUCCAAGUGGUGGUGUCCACUACACAGAGUUAAUUUUAAAAACUAAGAAGGAGUUCCCGUCGUGGCGCAAGGGAAAUGAAUCCAACUAGGAACCAGGAGGUGGCAAGUUUUAUCCCUGGCCUCCCUCAGUGCGUUAAGAAUCUGGCGUUGCCAUGAGCUGUGGUAAAGGUCGCAGAUGUGGCUCGGAUCUGGUGUUGCUGUGGCUGUGGCGUAGGCUGGCAGCUGUAGCUCUGAUUGGACCCCUAGCCUGGGAACCUCCAUGUGCCAAGGGUGUGGCCUUUAAAACAAAUUUAAAAAGAAGAAGACCUACCUCGUAGGACUGUAGAAAUGAUUGAGAAAACCAAGGUAAAGGCCUUAGUUAGCUAUCACUUAGUUAGCCAGGGUCUUAAACCUCAUUUCCAAGCUAGAGACUGGGCUGGAUAGUGGGCGGUGAGGGCCCGAGGUUGGGAAAGAUUUUUCUCUAUUAAAGAGAAAACGGAAAGAGAGAAGUCAGCUCUCACAACACCCCUCAGCCAAGAGCCCAGGCAGACAGCGUCUGCUCCAGAGGAAGGGCUGGUGUUCUCUGCUCCAUUGCCCUCUGGCAGGCACUUAGCUCCUGUUUUCCUCGUUAAGUGUGGCUGUAACCUGGCCCUCUUAACACUGCUGCUACAAGGUCCAGAAACAAUCCAAAGUCCCCAAACCAACAGCAUCAGCUGCUUUCAACAUCACCUCCCAGCUGGAUCAACAAGGUGGGACUGAACUCAGGGCUGACGGCAGGGAGUCAGGGCAGACAGCACUGGGAGUAGACGCUGGGUCUCAGGGACCUCGCUGUAUGCACAGCAAUGCUAAGCAUCUUGACACUGUAAAAGAGAGAAAAAAGAGGAGUUCCCACCAUAGCUCAGCGGUUAACAAACCCAACUAGGAUCCACGAAGAUGCGGGUGUGAUCCCUGGCCUCGCUCAGUGGGUUAAGGAUCUCAAGUUGCCGUGAACUGUGGUGUAGGUUGCAGAUGCAGCUCGGAUCCCGAGUUGCUGUGGCUGUGGUGUAGGCCAGCAGCAACAGCUCCGAUUCAACCCCUGGCCUGGGAGCCUCCAUAUGCUGUGGGUACGGCCUUAAAAAAAAAAAAAAAAAAAAAAA
rnacentral:lncRNA from 1 species